GGUCAAUAGUCUAACGACUGAACCAGCAACUUGGAAGAAUGAAUAGCGAAAGCUAAUUGUAUUAUUUUAUAGUGCGAUAUCAACUACGUUGAAUAAAAUUCUGGGUAAAAUUAUGAUGAUGACAUUGUUUACCCAUGUGUCUUGACCAAAUUACGUGCCAGCAGUCGCGGUAAUACGUAGAAGACUAGUGUUAUUCAUCUUUAAUAGGUUUAAAGGGUACCUAGACGGUAAACCAAGCUCUUGCCACGCAAGACAGGACUAGUUUACUAGAGUUACUUACAAGGAGGCUAUAAAGUACUAAUGGUGUAGAGAUGAAAUUUUGUGAUACCAUUUCUCGAAAGGGAAGUUAUGGCACUGAUAAAGGCGAAAGCAUCCUCUUAUGUGAUAACUGACGUUGAGGGACGAAGGCUUUGGAUCGCGAAUAGGAUUAGAUACCCUAGUAGUCAAAGCAGAAAAUGAUGAGUGUCAUAGAUUAGAAAAGUAAUUUUAUUCUAUAAAUGAAAGUGUAAGCACUCCACCUCAAGAGUAAUUUGGCAACAUUGGAACUGAAAUCAUUAGACCGUUUCUGAAACCAGUAGUGAAGUAUGUUGUUUAAUUUGAUAAUCCGCAAAACACCUUACCACAACUUGAAUAGAGAUAUCAUAUAUAUCUUUACAAGCGUUGCACGGCUGUCUACAGUUAAUGUCGUGAGACUUUGGUUAGAUCCAUUAAAUUAACGCAAGCCCUUACUUUAUUUUUAAAUAGAGUUGUUCCCCGCUAUAUUGGAUAUGAUAACAGGGACUAAGACAAGUCAUCAUGGCCUUAAUGUUGUGGGCUAUAGACGUGCCACAUAGACCUUUACAAGAAGGAUGUGAAAAUUGUGAGAAAUUAAAC
rnacentral:rRNA from 1 species